rnacentral:tRNA from 1 species
CAGCUGGUAGCGUAGUGGUUAGUUAUGGGCUUUGGAUCCAAAGGUCAUAGGUUUGAUCCCUAACUCUAGCUGU